rnacentral:rRNA from 1 species
AAAUUGAAGAGUUUGAUCAUGGCUCAGAUUGAACGCUGGCGGCAGGCCUAACACAUGCAAGUCGAACGGUAACAGGAAACAGCUUGCUGUUUCGCUGACGAGUGGCGGACGGGUGAGUAAUGUCUGGGAAACUGCCCGAUGGAGGGGGAUAACUACUGGAAACGGUAGCUAAUACCGCAUAACGUCGCAAGACCAAAGAGGGGGACCUUCGGGCCUCUUGCUAUCGGAUGUGCCCAGAUGGGAUUAGCUAGUAGGUGGGGUAACGGCUCACCUAGGCGACGAUCCCUAGCUGGUCUGAGAGGAUGACCAGCCACACUGGAACUGAGACACGGUCCAGACUCCUACGGGAGGCAGCAGUGGGGAAUAUUGCACAAUGGGCGCAAGCCUGAUGCAGCCAUGCCGCGUGUAUGAAGAAGGCCUUCGGGUUGUAAAGUACUUUCAGCGGGGAGGAAGGGAGUAAAGUUAAUACCUUUACUCAUUGACGUUACCCGCAGAAGAAGCACCGGCUAACUCCGUGCCAGCAGCCGCGGUAAUACGGAGGGUGCAAGCGUUAAUCGGAAUUACUGGGCGUAAAGCGCACGCAGGCGGUUUGUUAAGUCAGAUGUGAAAUCCCCGGGCUCAACCUGGGAACUGCAUCUGAUACUGGCAAGCUUGAGUCUCGUAG